GGAGAGAGGGGCCUAAUGAAUGAGCGCGCACAGAUGUGUGAAAGAGGCAGAAUGAAAAGCGCGGCUGACUGAUUGGAGGAGUGGGAGAUGCAUCUAUUUUUGUUCCUCUUCAGCACUGAAAGGCCACCGCUCUCACAAGGACAGGAAGAAGAGCUGGAGGGAGUGAGGAAUGAGGCUCAUUCACAGAGUAUGGUGGUGGCCAAUGGGAGGAUAGACGAGUGCUAUUUUUGGACAUGUAGGCACAUGUGGGCCUAUAGGGAGAGUAGAGUGGCCCAGGUGCUCAGCGACGUUGUCCGACAGGUACAGAAGUUUACCCUCACUCGUUAGCAAGAGGAGAAAGCCCGGCGAGGGACAUGAUGUGGAGGUAUGAAAGCCGAGAUUUGUCUGCGUCGGAGAUAGGGAGAAGAUCCUUCAGG